rnacentral:rRNA from 1 species
AUUCCAGCUCCAAUAGCGUAUAUUAAAGUUGUUGCGGUUAAAAAGCUCGUAGUUGGAUUUCUGCCGAGGAUGACCGGUCCGCCCUCUGGGUGAGUAUCUGGCUCAGCCUUGGCAUCUUCCUGAAGAACGUAGCUGCACUUGACUGUGUGGUGCGGUAUUUAGGACAUUUACUUUGAGGAAAUUAGAGUGUUUCAAGCAAGCGCACGCCUUGAAUACAUUAGCAUGGAAUAAUAAGAUAGGACCUCGGUUCUAUUUUGUUGGUUUCUAGAGCUGAGGUAAUGAUUAAUAGGGACAGUCGGGGGCAUUUGUAUUCAAACGACAGAGGUGAAAUUCUUGGACCGUUUGAAGACAAACUACUGCGAAAGCAUAUACCAAGGAUGUUUUCAUCG